GCUUAACGCGAAGAACCUUACCCACCUUUGACAUGGCAGGAACUUACCAGAGAUGGUUUGGUGCUCGAAAGAGAACCUGCACACAGGUGCUGCAUGGCUGUCGUCAGCUCGUGUCGUGAGAUGUUGGGUUAAGUCCCGCAACGAGCGCAACCCUUGCCAUUAGUUGCUACAUUCAGUUGAGCACUCUAAUGGGACUGCCGGUGACAAACCGGAGGAAGGUGGGGAUGACGUCAAGUCCUCAUGGCCCUUAUAGGGUGGGGCUACACACGUCAUACAAUGGCUGGUACGAAAGGGUUGCCAACCCGCGAGGGGGAGCUAAUCCCAUAAAGCCAGUCGUAGUCCGGAUCGCAGUCUGCAACUCGACUGCGUGAAGUCGGAAUCGCUAGUAAUCGUGGAUCAGAAUGUCACGGUGAAUACGUUCCCGGGUCUUGUACACACCG
rnacentral:rRNA from 1 species